GCCGGGCGUGGGGGCGCGCGCCUGUAGUCCCAGCUACUCGGGAGGCUGAGGUGGGAGGAUCGCUUGAGUCCAGGAGUUCUGGGCUGCAGUGCGCUAUGCCGAUGGGGUGUCCGCACUAAGUUCGGCAUCAAUAUGGUGACCUCCCGGGAGCGGGGGACCACCAGGUUGCCUAAGGAGGGGUGAACCGGCCCAGGUCGGAAACGGAGCAGGUCAAAAACUCCCGUGCUGAUCAGUAGUGGGAUCGCGCCUGUGAAUAGCCACUGCACUCCAGCCUGGGUAAUAGAGUGAGACCUUGUCUCU
rnacentral:SRP_RNA from 1 species